AUGUUCUAUACCAAACACGUAAAAAUCACUUACAUAACUGAAAGGGCUCUAGAAGGUAACAAAGUUAUGUUACAAUUGUAAUCGAAAUGAGAUGUAACAUAGAAGUUGGAAUGUUCUAUACCAAACACGUAAUAAUCACUUAUAUAACUGACAGGGUUCUAGAAGGUAUCAAAGUUAUGUUACAAUUGUAACCGAAAUGAUAUGUAACAUAGUGGUUGAAAUUGGCCCAAACCGCUUGAAGCACUGUUAGGGUCUUAGGGAAGUCAAAGUCUCAAAGUGGACAUUCUAAUGAUGAGCUAUAAUGGAAUAUGAAGGUACAUCAAGGUUGUUAAUACAAAAUUUCUUUUCUUAUCCAUAAAAUAGGUACACCACCUUUUGCGCAGUCUCGUACUGUCGUGAGACGCCAUUACUAUCUCCUAUGUGACACGCGAAUGCGGUUGAUGAACGGAAUUUUUGUGGUGUUUAUCUACGGUUUUUUGUGGGAAGAGGUGAAGUAUAUCUGAAAAGAAGUACGCAUAUACCUCUAGUGAAAAGUAAAGGUUAACGGCUGCGGGACACAUAACCUCAACAGUCAACUUCAAGCGAAAGAUAAAGUUCUUUUUGACGCUAUAUUGAAAUAAGUCGGUGUUGUUUUGGUUCAGUGUUUGUAUGCCGUUCGGCAAACUUUCCCCGACACUAGCGAAAGUGCCAUUGAAUUGACGGUGGGUGAGUGGUUACGCUUAAGCACGCUGAGACAGUCAAGAGAAAAACCUCUCCAAAAUCAAUAAUUUUAUUAUAUAUUAUUAAUGAAUAUUUGAAAUGUAUCUAUUGUGAUAAUAUUCUACAUUUUUAGGAAUUGUUAUUUUGUUUUAUUUUAUAAGAAUAUAUCUUUAUUUUUUCA